CUAAAGUCCAAGGAGGUGAUCGCAGCUUUGUGGCCCUUAAAGUAACGCUCCAGAACGGGGUCCUCCUGGGAAGGAAAGUUGUCAAGGCUUGACACCCAGAAGGACAGUAGUCACCGUGAUGGGAAUGAAACCGCUUGGAGCGAGAGGGUAAAUAAAGAGUCUGUGAUCGAUGCAA